GAGCGGAGCGCGGAGCGGCCGAAGUGCAUGCUGGGAAGCGUAGUCUCUCCGGCGGCUCAGGUCGUUGGGUAACGGGCGAGGAAACAGAAACUCUUCCAGUCUUGAACAUUACAAAAACGAAAACAGCAGCAGUUUCUUGGUAAUUUACACUGAAAUCCUGGCCAUGUGUACUCAGCAGUAAAUCCUUUUUAAUUCAAUUAAGCUUAUUCCCUGGUAA